rnacentral:rRNA from 1 species
UCCUACGGGGGGCAGCAGUGAGGAAUAUUGGUCAAUGGGCGGAAGCCUGAACCAGCCAAGUCGCGUGAGGGAAGAAGGCCCUGCGGGUCGCAGACCUCUUUGGACGGGGAGCAAGGCCGCCGACGUGUCGGCGGAAGGAGAGUACCCGUAGAACAAGCAUCGGCUAACUCCGUGCCAGCAGCCGCGGUAAUACGGAGGAUGCGAGCGUUAUCCGGAUUUACUGGGUGUAAAGGGAGCGUAGACGGCAGUGCAAGUCCGGAGUGAAAGCCCGGGGCUCAACCCUGGGACUGCUCUGGAAACUGUAA